UACGUAGGGUGCGAGCGUUGUCCGGAAUUAUUGGGCGUAAAGAGCUCGUAGGCGGUCUGUCGCGUCGGUCGUGAAAACUUGGGGCUUAACCCCGAGCUUGCGGUCGAUACGGGCAUGACUGGAGUUCGGCAGGGGAGACUGGAAUUCCUGGUGUAGCGGUGAAAUGCGCAGAUAUCAGGAGGAACACCGGUGGCGAAGGCGGGUCUCUGGGCCGAUAAUGACGCUGAGGAGCGAAAGAGUGGGGAGCAAACAGG
rnacentral:rRNA from 1 species